AGUUCGGACUGUAGGCUGCAACUCGCCUACACGAAGUUGGAAUUGCUAGUAAUCGUGGAUCAGCAUGCCACGGUGAAUACGUUCCCGGGCCUUGUACACACCGCCCGUCACACCAUGGGAGCUGGUAACACCCGAAGUCAGUAGUCUAACCGCAAGGAGGACGCUGCCGAAGGUGGGAUUAGCGACUGGGGUGAAGUCGUAACAAGGUAAC
rnacentral:rRNA from 1 species